rnacentral:rRNA from 1 species
UACGGAGGGGGCAAGCGUUAUUCGGAAUUAUUGGGCGUAAAGGGCGCGUAGGCGGCUAGAUGUGUCAAAGGUGAAAUCCCUCGGCUCAACUGACGAACUGCCUUUGAAACUGUCUGGCUUGAGGCCGGGAGAGGGUAGCGGAAUUCCCAGUGUAGCGGUGAAAUGCGUAGAUAUUGGGAGGAACACCAGUGGCGAAGGCGGCUACCUGGACCGGUUCUGACGCUGAGGCGCGAAAGCGUGGGUAGCAAACAGG